UACGGGGGGUGCAAGCGUUGUCCGGAAUCACUGGGCGUAAAGGGCGCGUAGGUGGCGUCGUAAGUCUGCUGUGAAAUCCCCGGGCUCAACCUGGGAAUGGCAGUGGAUACUGGCAAGCUAGAGUGUGUCAGAGGAUGGUGGAAUUCCCGGUGUAGCGGUGAAAUGCGUAGAGAUCGGGAGGAACAUCAGUGGCGAAGGCGGCCAUCUGGGACAACACUGACGCUGAGGCACGAAAGCGUGGGGAGCAAACAGG
rnacentral:rRNA from 1 species